AAAAUAAACCUUAAUUGAUCGCAUAUCUUUAUUCCAAACUAUGAAUGCUGGCCUUUAUUAUUAGCAAAGUCAUAUGCAUACAACAAAUAGACAUUAGAAUACAUAGUUGGCAUUGAGCUUGGAAGAAUCAAAGAAUAAUUAUCACAUUGAAUUUUUAUGUUGGUUUCAUGGUCUGGGUACUUGAAGCAUGCAUGGUCUGGAUCGUCUUAGGGUUAUCUUUGCGAGCCUUUCUCGGUAUGCCAUGUGAAUCUCACUCAAACCGAUAUUAACCGCCAAGUUCCCCAACAACUUGAGUACCGCCAAGUUCCCCAAUAUUUUGGUCUACAAACAAUAUAACCCAGUUCAACUCAAGAACAGUGGAAUUCACAAAUACAUGCACUGUAUAUAAAUCACAGAUAAUAAAACUUGAACAGUUAAUAUAACAGGCACCAAAACUUGUGAAGAAGUUGCUGCAAGGGUGUAAAAAGUACAAGAAUAAUAGAGUAUAGAUGUCAGCUAUGAUGAGGUAAUAUAGAGAACAAAGUAGACUAACUAAGAACUUGCAGUCAGGAAUAGCAAAGUUGAACAUCAGAGGAUACCAUAAUGUAGAAUCGGUAUAUAAUUUUCAUUGACGUUUCGCAAGACCAAUAUAAGGCCAUAAUCAAAAGCAACCUUGAAACAUGCAUAUAUAUUAAGUGGUUUCCAGUAAAAUCACCUUUGUCUUCACCAAAAUGAUAAACAGAUCUAAUAAUAAAGCAUGAACAUGCUUUCUGGGUUGUAUCAGUACCAGCAGAAAGCAAGAACCUCUUCAAUUAACACAUUUUUUUUUCCUGAAAUCAAAUCAACACAGCUUGAUAACUCAGAAAUUAGACACCAUUAACUUGGUACACAUUAGUGAUGUGCGCUCUCGAGAAGUGAGAAAGCUCGUAAAAGGCAAACAUUGCAGGAAAUUGACUUACUAAAAUGGUGGGAGACACAAAGACAUUCAGCUACUAAAUUAGUAACUCACCAUUUACAACUUAGCAUUUUCAAUUUACAAUCAGAAGGANNNNNNNNNNNNNNNNNNNNAUUUAGUAAUGAUCAAAGGCCGAAAGAUUUAGUAAUGAUCAAAAGCCGAAAGAAAACAUGUAUACAUACAUACAUGGGCAGCUAUCCAAAAAUUGAACAUAGGAAAGGCUGAAGACCAACAUUCAAACCCAGAUCGAGGCAAAUAUAGUAAGCAUAUAUAGAAGUUUUGAAACAGGGAGAACACAUACAUCACAGAACUAUAACACUUACUAUUGUAAAAGAAAUUCAAACUAAAGAUUUGUAUGGGACACGUAAAUCAAAAUGCAAGGUUAACACAAUGUCUACUAAUCCCAUAGUGGUGAUAAUACCACCUGAAUAUGAGUAUGGAGAGCUGUGGCAACUUCACACAAAACGUUGGACCAGAGCUGCUAUCAAAAUCAUUUAUGGCAUUAAAUAAUCCAUACAUCACACAGAACACAUAAACAAACUUCAUUACUAAAUUGAAAAUCUAAGGCUUACAUAGUACCAGUAAUUGCUUUUUGCCUUUACCUUCUUCGGAUCUCUGAGUCGGGUCCAUGUUCUUAAACUCCUUGUGGAUUCAAGACUAGAGCGUGCCUUCACCGGAUCUAUCGCCAACCUCCAAUCCAUUUGUACCGGAUCCAUCGAAUUCCAACGUCGAAACGUUACCGAUUUUGACCAAUUCUUCGAUAACAACCAGAUCUGAUUCUUCGACAACUUUGAGCGCGAUCUUGUCCUUCUUCUUCGUCGCCAACAACUUGGCCAGGAUGAAGACUAUGGUCCUCACGUCUGGUCUGGAUGCAGGAGAGAGAGAGAGAGAGAGAGAGAGAGAGAGAGAGAGAGAGAGAGAGAGAGAGAGAGAGAGAGAGAGAG
rnacentral:lncRNA from 1 species